ACAGAAAUUAACAUCGUCAACAAGUUAUAUUAAAACAAUAGUUUGGUGUAUGUUGGGUUGCCUAUAGUAAGGAAACCAUAGCACACAUACGCGUAGAAAAGUCAAAUCGAACUCUAUUCGCGAUACAUUCGCGCAUGUGUGUUGUGUGUUGAAGAAGCGUUCGAUCCGGCUGCAUCAUCACUGCGCCGCGGAUGCCGAGGCCGAAACCGAACCACCGACGGACCCGACCGCCUUAGCUCAUUUGCGGUAUAGUUUACGAUCGCUCGUCGGCGACUUCAAACGGCAGCGUUGUUUACAUAAUAUAGGUCCUCAGCAGCCGGAAACAAUAUGAGAUGGACACGCUGGUGCAGUGGAAUUAAAACGCCGGUGUGUGUGUGUGUUUUUGACCGCGGGCCGGUCCGGCCUCUCAAUCACUUUCCGAAUUCUUCAGUGACACGGCGACAGAUCAAUCUCCCGAGACUUAUCACUCAUUGUCGGCGCUCGCCGACGUGACUAAAUAGUCGCUGCGCCCGCGUCGAUGACAACCGACGAUGACUGAGGAGGGCAAAUCGAAGAGAAGGGCGCGAAUGAUGGAAGAGUCGCUUUUUGAAAACCAAAAAAAAAAAAAGUUAAAAAUUUUAAAAAGAUUUUAUGCACGAUUUAUCAGUGUUAGAUUAGUCAUGGUCAUGGGUAAGAUUAGAAAAUCUCAACUUUGGUA